AUGUCACAGAUACAGCUUACUCAGCCACCCUCUGAAAUAAAAAAGCCAGGUGACAGUGUGAAGAUACCCUGUAAAACAUCUGGAUACACAUUCACCAGCUACUGGGUAAACUGGGUUCAACAAGUUCCAGGGAAAGGACUGACUUGGGUCGGAGAAAUUGACCCUAGUGAUGGAGAAGAAAGGUAUUCAUCAUCAUUCAAAGGAAGAUUCACAAUCUCCAGAGAUAAUGCCAUUACUACGGCCUUUCUACAGAUAGACAGACUGAGUGUGGAUGAUACAGCCACAUAUUACUGUGCUAGAAGGCCAAGCACAGUGACAAAAGGAGGAAACUUCCCAUACAAAAACUUUCAGGAACAAUAA